UACGGGGGGGGCAAGCGUUGUUCGGAAUUACUGGGCGUAAAGGGUUCGUAGGUGGCCCGCUAAGUCACACGUGAAAUCCCUCAGCUUAACUGGGGAACUGCGUGUGAGACUGGCAGGCUUGAGUGCAGGAGAGGAACGCGGAAUUCCAGGUGUAGCGGUGAAAUGCGUAGAUAUCUGGAGGAACACCGGUGGCGAAGGCGGCAUCCUGGACCGGCAUUGACGCUGAGGAGCGAAAGCCAGGGGAGCAAACGGG
rnacentral:rRNA from 1 species